CAUCGCCGAGGUGCUCGAGGCCGCCGCCGAGGCCGCCGCCCCCGUCGAGAACGCCCCGCCCGCCGUGGAGACCAACCAGGUGGAGCCAGAGAUUGUCAAGCAGGUGGAGCUCCCCAAGGUGCACCUGAUCGGCACGGGCAUCGAGGAGUGCGGCCCCGAGCGCGUCCGCAACCAGGAGGGCGUCUGCGUGGACGAGCCAAAGCAGGACUAGGAUGAAGGAGCCGUCUAAGGAAAACUCGCGCGCUGUGAAUACCGUUGCCAUUGCUGUCGUAGAUGCCAGACCUUCGUGUUAUUUAUGUUUUUGUACUAUUUAUUUAUUUAUUGUCCGUGAAAAAUAAAUGUUAUGAAAGUGA